CAGAGGAAGUUGUGUGCAGGUUUAUUGAGGAACAGAGGGGUCAGGAGGAAUUUCAGCGCAUCCAAUAACUCUCGUACUGGUGGGAUGCCUUCAGAUCCCAGGAACUUUGCUAGCUGUUCUCAGCUGUGGUGUGACUUCCCCUGUCAACAUUCUCCCUGCAGGAUAUCCCAUGGUCUGAGGCAAGGAGCCCUUCCUUGGGAAGGGAACUUGAACCCAUCCAGAGCAGGAACUGAAGGGAGCCCAACAUCUCUCACUUUCCAGGACUUAAGUGCUAAGCCCAUGUGAGCUGUGCCUGCACUAACAGAACUGCAAGACUCAGUGCAGGAGAAGCAAUCAAGGAUGGAGUGACAACAAAAGCACCAGAUGCCACUGAUGCCUCUUCCACACUUCACUCCUCAGGCAUCACAGCAGAACAAGGAACCCUCCUGACUCCAGAGUUUCCUAGUAAAGACAGAUUUGAAGAGGCACAGCCACUCUCCUAAGAGAUUAAAAAUAAAGUGCUGACACAUUCUAUUGUCAAA